rnacentral:rRNA from 1 species
AACUGUGACCACCUCCAUUAAACACAAGUCUAUGUCUGUGCUACAUCUUGUCCGAUCUCCAAAGCUAAGCAAGACCGGACCUGGUUAGUACUUGGAUGGGAGACCGCUGGGAAAACCAGGUGCCACAGUGA